UACGGGGGGGGGCAAGCGUUGUUCGGAAUUACUGGGCGUAAAGGGCUCGUAGGCGGCCAACUAAGUCAUACGUGAAAUCCCCCGGCUUAACCGGGGAACUGCGUCUGAUACUGGAUGGCUUGAGUUCGGGAGAGGGAUGCGGAAUUCCAGGUGUAGCGGUGAAAUUCGUAGAUAUUCGGAAGAACACCAGUGGCGAAGGCGGCUCACUGGCCCGGUACUGACGCUGAUGUGCGAAAGCGUGGGGAGCAAACAGG
rnacentral:rRNA from 1 species